GGAAUUACAUUAACGUGAGAGGAAUGUACACAGACAUGUUGAAGAAUAACCAAAAGGGCAAGAAAAGAAUGUUUAACUGGGCUACCUUCACGAUUUUUGUAAAAGUUUGGCCAUGAUGACUGCAGAAAGAUGAAGAGGCAAGAACUACACCAUAAAGAAAAGCUACUGGCCAUGCAGUUGAAGUAACAUAAAUUGCAUUUGAGGAUAGAUGGCUCCCGUGAUACAUCAACAUUGGUCGUGAUUUGGCACCGACCCCCGGCUCGGGACUGAGCGUUAACGCUGUCGAGCUCCAGUAAACAGAGCCAACGGCUGCCGUACAAUUGAAAUUGCAGACCUUGAAACCAUUGACGUACCAAUGCAGUUCGGCUGCUGGUUUGGAACGACUCGACGUGCAAUUGAUUUGAAUUUCAUCAUUACCACGAGUGAUGGAUUGCCGUGAAUAAUGCAAAUGAUACGAUCGAUGAUGAUUAUCAUCACUUUUCAAUAUUCUGUAAGCAGAAUUGCCGAGUGUCACAUUGGAAUCGAAUGAGAAAAAUCCCUUGGUGUUGAUCCGAGGUCCGAAUUCUGGAAAUACGUGAACGGAUCACUUCUAUGUCGGUUAUAUAUUUCCUUUCUUGUAAAAAGAUUAGGAAAACAACAAACAAAAAAGUCGAUACCGAAAGAAAAGUUGGGCACUGCAGACGAGACGGAUGACAAUAGGAUGGAUAAUUGAGUUGUGUUGGGUAAGUAUAACUCUCCGGCCGCAGGGCUACUACUGGUAGGCUACAACCGCCAUGUAACAUCAUUACAAUGCACACCGAUAAAAGAAUAAUCAUGUAACACAUGUUUAUUGUAGCUCAAAACAAAGAAUUUGUCGAGUUUUUAGCCGCAUCAAAUCUACUUGACAUUCCUGUAGCCUCUCUUGUACUCCAUGUCCGCAGGCUCUUUUUUUUUUUCACUCUGCCGUGAGUUGUGUAUUACGUAUCGAGAUAAAGGAGCUCGCCCCACUCGACAGUGUAGACAUACGCCAAUUAUUU
rnacentral:lncRNA from 1 species